rnacentral:rRNA from 1 species
UGGGGAAUCUUGCACAAUGGAGGAAACUCUGAUGCAGCGACGCCGCGUGAGCGAUGAAGCCCUUCGGGGUGUAAAGCUCUUUCGACGGGAACGAUAAUGACGGUACCCGAAGAAGAAGCUGCGGCUAACUACGUGCCAGCAGCCGCGGUAAUACGUAGGCAGCAAGCGUUGUUCGGAAUUACUGGGCGUAAAGAGUGUGUAGGCGGUGCUCCAAGUCUGGUGUGAAAUCUCCCGGCUUAACUGGGAGGGUGCAUUAGAAACUGGAAUGCUAGAGGAUGGGAGAGGUAAGCGGAAUUCCUGGUGUAGCGGUGAAAUGCGUAGAUAUCAGGAGGAACACCUGUGGUGUAGACAGCUUACUGGACCAUUUCUGACGCUGAGACACGAAAGCGUGGGUAGCAAACA